UAUCUGCCAAGAGAUUCCGGUCCAUCCUAGUGAUGAAUACGCGGAAUUCUUCUUGGCACUCGUUCAGGGAAGGUGGUUGCACUUUAUUGUGUGUCAUUUGAUCUGGAUUUUUACUUUGAGGAAAUGAGAGUGUUUCAAGCAGGCUUUUGCCAUGAAUAUGAUAGCAUGGAAUAAUAGCACAGGACCCCUUUUCAAAGCUGUUGGUUCUUGGAACGAGGUAAUUAGAAUAAGGAUAGUUGGGGGUAUUCGUAUUUAACU
rnacentral:rRNA from 1 species